CGCUCGGUAUUUCCCCGCCCACCUCCCUGGCCCCGCCCCACCCGGGCCUUCUCCAAGCUCCCUGAAGGGCAGCACCUGGGCUGAUUCCUGGGCAUGGAUCCUCCCAGGCCUGAUGGUGGCGGCGCGGAAGUCACAGGUGGGCUGGCCACCCUGUCCUCCUCCUCUCACUGUGUUUGAGCCAUCAGGGCCCCACCGCCCACCGCUCGGUAUUUCCCCGCCCACCUCCCUGGCCCCGCCCCACCCGGGCCUUCUCCAAGCUCCCUGAAGGGCAGCACCUGGGCUGAUUCCUGGGCAUGGAUCCUCCCAGGCCUGAUGGUGGCGGCGCGGAAGUCACAGGUGGGCUGGCCACCCUGUCCUCCUCCUCUCACUGUGUUUGAGCCAUCACCACCUUGUAUAGAUGUCCAGAGACGCACAGAUUCUCCGGACGCGUGCGCGGCGCACACUCACGCACACAACCUCGCGCAGACACAACGCACCUGCGCACAAAGCACUUUGUGACCAUGUGAGAAGCAGAACACGGUUUGGCGUUGGGCGAAGGCCGGAACUCAGCCGGCCCUUGCUUCUGCCGCUGGGUCGGAAGCCAUGGUCUCGGCGGAGGCGGCGGAGGAAGGAGAACCUUGGGCGCGGGCUGCGCCACCGCAAGUCCAGGCCGCAGACCAGGACCUGGAAACCGGGUUUCCAGACACCGCCUGACCUCGCCAUGUGUGCUCGGCCAUUUCAAAUGAAGAAGAUGGGACAGAGGAUGGUGACGGCCAUGGCAGUCAGGGGAGCGGUGGAGGAUUUUUCUGAAGAACUAGGAACAGUUAUGAAGAGGAAGGAGGUGACAGCUGAAGAGAUGCCUGAGCCCAGGUUUGGUCCAUGGAGCCACAAGGCCACUAGAGGAGCUGGUGCGUGAGAGCUGCCAUACCAGACAAAUCUCCAGCUGAGCUCCUGCUACCCAUCCCACACCUUGGGGUCUUCAUCUAUAGAUGUGGAAAAGACUACUUAUUACUGUGAGUUGUUAUGGGCUUAGUGCCAAUGGAUAAAUACUGCUGCUGUUGUUUUAUUAUGCAAAUCUCAAGGCACUGUCGCAUUCUCAAGCUGGUACAUAAUGAAAAUCAAGGAGUCACUAAUGCAUUCUUCAUCGCACCUUGACAUGACUUUUAUGUGACAUUCAGCUGGAGCAGUUGCGAUCCGCUCUUCAUUUGCUAUUCUGAGCUUGGAGUGCAGGGCAACUAGCUCAUCAAUUCAAUGAGUUGAUUCUUCUAUUUAAAAUGAGCAUUCUGUUUGUGAGAAGGCCACGGGUUCCUGCUUGCACCUGGUAUCUCAAGGUUGAGCAGUGAACUGGCCAAGGCUCUGGUGGGGUCAUGGAAUUUCUCAAAUCUAUUAAGACUGUGUGAACUUGCAUCUAUUUGGAGACACUUGGAAGGUGAAUUAAGCAAGAGCUCAGAUUUCCCAGUGAGCAACUGUAGAAUUUUAAUUAGCUUUGAGUCUGUUUCUCUGCUGGAAAUAGCAGAUCUCUGAGCAUUUCUUCAAUAGCAUUACAGUAAUUAUAACAAUUCUGCAGGGAAUAAUUUACAGGAUGUAUUUUUGUAAGCUUAGCAGAAUAAGAAAGGCCACAUCCAGUUCUUAUAUGCAUGCCUGAAGUUGCUGUCAAAUAGAGGUUUAACAGUGUUAGCAGGAGAGUCAAUCAUUUGGUUUAUGCUGUGGCAGUGUUGUACAACGGGACUUUGCGAUAGUAGAAAUGUUAAGUACCUGUGGCCACCAACCACACGUGGCUGCUGAGCACUUGAAAUGUGGUUAGAUGCAUCAAGGACUGAAUUCCUAGCUACACUUCAUUUUAAUUAUAUGAAAUUUAAAUAUGCAGCUAGUGGCUCCUACAUUGGAAAGCACAGCACUGAGAAACUAACUGGGGUUCCCUUAAGCCACCUGGAGCCUGCCGGGGGGCCAGGAGGGAACCUGAGUGGCACUGAGGGAGCCCCUCAGCCCUUGUACUAGUGUUCAGUGGAAGUUGGGUUCUCUCAUUUAUUAUCCUCUGACUAUUGAAAGCAUCAAAUUAGAGAGAUGGGUACAAAGGCAACAAAACAAAAUGAAACAAUUUAAAAGCAGACCAGGACUCAACAAGGAAAAACAGUGUAGGAUCCUUGAGCACGUGAUCAAGGAGCCUUAUCGCUCCAAAGCAUAGAACUUGUGUUAUGGUUUAGAUCUACAAUGUCCUCCACAGGCUUGUGCAGAGGUUGGGCUUUUAGAAGGUGAUGGGAACAAGGAGGCAUUGCACUCUUCGGUGAAUCAACCCACUAAAUAGUCCGUGGCAGUCAGGGCCUGCUUGAAGAAAGGUCACGGGAGGUGUGACCAGGAAGGCUGCAUCUCCUUCCCCGCCCCACACUUCACUCUCUGCUUCUGGCCGCCAUGACUGAGCAGCUCCCGUGCCCUUCCUGCCUUGGAGCCAGCAGACUCUGGACUGAAUCCUCUGAAAGCUUCAAACCAGAGUAAACCUCUCCUCCUUUAAACUGUGGGUGUCUGGUCUUUUGUCCCAGCAAUGAGUGAGAAGGUGACUAAGAUAACUUGAUGUCUUUGGCCACCAAGAAAAUGUUAAGAGCUCAGGGACAUGUGCUUUAGGAGGACAUGGAGAAAAAAUGAACACGCCACGUCUAAACCUUGGUCCGUUGAAGGUGAUAAAGAUACGAACAGUUUUGGUGCACAAAAGCAUGAGUUUGGGUUACCCGGAGA
ensembl:lincRNA